CGUCAUAAAUCUUACGUAUUUCUGGUGAUAAACCUCAUUCCGCAACAUAAUAAUUCGUUAUUGCGUUCCCACGAGGGACAUAUUUCAACGUUUUAAAGUUCGCAAAGUUUCUCAUCUCGAGAGCUGAACACAAAGAACCCGGAAACCGCACCAGGAUAUUUGCUCAAGUAGAAAGAACAAAAAACUCACCUCUGCUAUCCUGGUACCCACUGGUUCCGUGUCAUAAAUCUUCCAAUUCCUCUCCAGAUAAACUGUUGGCGGUGUAUUCUCAAUUUGUCCUCGAACUGCAACGUAAAGUGAAUUG